rnacentral:tRNA from 1 species
AAAAUUUUAAGUUAAAUUAAAACUAAUAAUUUUCAAAAUUAUAAUUAAAUUUGCUAAUUUAAAUUUUA